CUCUUAUGUACCUUGUGGAGCUUUUCUUUUGGAUCUUUCUUGCAAUUGAUCUGGGAAGCGGGAGGGCGGUUCACAGUCCUUUCUUCUGUAGCAAGUUUACUCUGUCUUUACUUUAUAUCACCAUUGAGAGUGAGGACGAGGGUCUCACUCUUGAUGUUUGCAGCCUGUAACAUGGGUGCUUCUUUUGGCUUUUAUAUCGAAUAUCUCUUCGGAAUGAAUCAAAUCCUUGUUGUCGGCCUUUAUGCAGGUCCAACACUUGCCAUUGGAACUUUCUGGAUUGAAUCCUUGUUAUCGAGGGAAAGGAGAGAAAUCUACAUCAACUGCCCGAGCUAUCCUUUGAGUCUAAUGUUUGCCACCUGUGUUGUUAGAACUUUCGAAUUCAUUGACAGACACGCAGCUUAU